AAUCAACGCUGGCGGCGUGCCUAACACAUGCAAGUCGCACGAGAAAGGGACUUCGGUCCUGAGUACAGUGGCGCACGGGUGAGUAACACGUGAAUAAUCUACCUUCGAGUGGGGAAUAACUGAGAGAAAUCUUAGCUAAUACCGCAUAAUACCUACGGGUCAAAGCAGCAAUGCGCUUGAAGAGGAGUUCGCGGCAGAUUAGUUAGUUGGCAGGGUAAUGGCCACCAAGACGAUGAUCUGUAUCCGGCCUGAGAGGGCGCACGGACACACUGGAACUGAAACACGGUCCAGACUCCUACGGGAGGCAGCAGUGGGGAAUUUUGCGCAAUGGGGGAAACCCUGACGCAGCAACGCCGCGUGGAGGAUGAAAUCCCUUGGAUGUAAACUCCUUUGAUCGGGAAGAUAAUGACGGUACCGAGAGAAGAAGCCCCGGCUAACUUCGUGCCAGCAGCCGCAGUAAG
rnacentral:rRNA from 1 species